rnacentral:rRNA from 1 species
UACGGAGGGUGCAAACGUUGCUCGGAAUUAUUGGGCGUAAAGCGCACGUAGGCGGUCCGCUAAGUCGGGUGUGAAAUCCCUCGGCUUAACCGAGGAAGUGCAUUCGAAACUGGCGGGCUUGAGUACUGAAGAGGGUCGCGGAAUUCCCCGGUGUAGAGGUGAAAUUCGUAGAUAUCGGGAGGAACACCAGUGGCGAAGGCGGCGACCUGGGCCAAUAUUGACGCUGAGGUGCGAAAGCGUGGGGAGCAAACAGG